CAAUUAUAGUACUAAGUACACCUUUUUGUCAAAGCUUAGACGAACCAUCCUCCUAACCAAUAGCUUGCGAGCGUUGGUGAUCGGUAAAGUCAAUACUUUAUCAUUACGUUAUGGAUGGGAACUGAAGUUAAUUCUAAAAGAAUUUCAUCGAGUCUUACUAUUGGAACCUCUCGUGUCGUAUUGAUCUCUGUAGAUGCCUCCGGAGAGAUUGGAAUCGUCUGUCAGAAAAGUUGUUUCAAUUAUACACCUUCGCUGCCAGGUUAUGAAAUUAAUAGUCAUCGAUUUGUAAAAUUAGCAAUUUUAAGGACACAAUUGUCGUGAAUAUAUUUAGUAUCUUUGAUGAUCUAUUAACGUAUUCAUUGUCGAGUCGGAGGUACAGAUACAAUAUCAUAUUUAUUUUAAGGAUUUAAAAAAGAGAGACAAACAAAUCUGAACGAUGGCAGAGAUGGAAGAGGAAUCAGGUCAACGCAUUGUUGUCAUGGCUGUUGACAAUAGUGAGAAUUCAAUGUGGGCUUUUACCUG
rnacentral:lncRNA from 1 species